rnacentral:rRNA from 1 species
GACAGCAGUAGCCGCGGGAAUACGAAGGGUGCAAGCGUUAAUCGGAAUUACUGGGCGUAAAGCGUGCGUAGGCGGUUUGUUAAGUCUGCUGUGAAAUCCCCGGGCUCAACCUGGGAAUGGCAGUGGAUACUGGCAAGCUAGAGUGUGUCAGAGGAUGGUGGAAUUCCCGGUGUAGCGGUGAAAUGCGUAGAGAUCGGGAGGAACAUCAGUGGCGAAGGCAAUCCCCUGGACCUGUACUGACGCUCAUGCACGAAAGCGUGGGGAGCAAGCAGGAUUAGAUACCCCCGUAGUCCCUGUCUCUUAUAA